UUAGUUGGCGGGGUAAAGGCCCACCAAGACUGUGAUCGAUAGCCGGCCUGAGAGGGCACACGGCCACACUGGCACUGAAACACGGGCCAGACUCCUACGGGAGGCAGCAGUGGGGAAUAUUGCACAAUGGGGGAAACCCUGAUGCAGCGACGCCGCGUGAGCGAUGAAGCCCUUCGGGGUGUAAAGCUCUUUCGGCAGGGACGAUUAUGACGGUACCUGCAGAAGCAGCUGCGGCUAACUACGUGCCAGCAGCCGCGGUAAUACGUAGGCAGCAAGCGUUGUUCGGAAUUACUGGGCGUAAAGGGUGCGUAGGCGGCUUUUUAAGUUUGUUGUGAAAUCUCCCGGCUCAACUGGGAGGGUGCGGCGAAUACUGAGAAGCUAGAGUGUGGGAGAGGAAAGUGGAAUUCCUGGUGUAGCGGUGAAAUGCUAGAUAUCAGGAGGAACACCGGUGGUGUAAACGGCUUUCUGGACCAUAACUGACGCUGAGGCACGAAAGCGUGGGUAGCAAACAGGAUUAGAUACCCUGGUAGUCCACGCCCUAAACGAUGCAUAUUUGGUGUGGGCCAUUCAUUUGGUCCGUGCCGGAGCUAACGCGUUAAAUAUGCCGCCUGGGGAGUACAGUCGCAAGGCUGAAACUCAAAGGAAUUGACGGGGGCCCGCACAAGCGGUGGAGCAUGUGGUUUAAUUCGACGCAACGCGAAGAACCUUACCUAGGCUCGAAAUGCUUACGACCAUCUUUGGAAACAUUGACUUCCCGCAAGGGACGUGAGUAUAGGUGCUGCAUGGCUGUCGUCAGCUCGUGUCGUGAGAUGUUGGGUUAAGUCCCGCAACGAGCGCAACCCUUGUCCUGUGUUGCCAUCAUUAAGUUGGGAACUCGCAGGAGACCGCCAGGGAUAACCUGGAGGAAGGUGGGGAUGACGUCAAGUCCUCAUGGCCUUUAUGUCUAGGGCUACACACGUGCUACAAUGGACGGUACAAAGCGCUGCCAACCCGCGAGGGGGAGCCAAUCGCAAAAAACCGUUCUCAGUUCGGAUUGCAGGCUGCAACUCGCCUGCAUGAAGCUGGAAUCGCUAGUAAUGGCAGAUCAGAACGCUGCCGUGAAUACGUUCCCGGGCCUUGUACACACCGCCCGUCACAUCACGAAAGUGGGUUGUACUAGAAGUCCGCGCGCUAACCGUAAGGAGGCAGCGGCCCAAGGUAUGACUCAUGAUUGGGGUGAAGUCGUAACAAGGUAGCCGUAGGAGAACCUGCGGCUG
rnacentral:rRNA from 1 species